AUUGCCUCAGUAACGGCGAGUGAAGCGGCAAAAGCUCAAAUUUGAAAUCUAGCACUUUCAGUGUUCGAGUUGUAAUUUGAAGAAGGUAACUUUGGUUUUGGCUCUUGUCUAUGUUCCUUGGAACAGGACGUCACAGAGGGUGAGAAUCCCGUGCGAUGAGAUGCCCAAUUCCAUGUAAAGUGCUUUCGAAGAGUCGAGUUGUUUGGGAAUGCAGCUCUAAGUGGGUGGUAAAUUCCAUCUAAAGCUAAAUAUUGGCGAGAGACCGAUAGCGAACAAGUACAGUGAUGGAAAGAUGAAAAGAACUUUGAAAAGAGAGUGAAAAAGUACGUGAAAUUGUUGAAAGGGAAGGGCUUGAGAUCAGACUUGGUAUUUUGCGUUCCCUUCCUUUUUGGUUGGGUUCCUCGCAGUUUACUGGGCCAGCAUCGGUUUGGAUGGUAGGAUAAUGACAUUGGAAUGUAGCUUUACUUCGGUGAAGUGUUAUAGACUUUGUUGAUACUGCCUAUCUAGACCGAGGACUGCGUCUUUGACUAGGAUGCUGGCGUAAUGAUCUUAAGCAGCCCGUCUUG
rnacentral:rRNA from 1 species